rnacentral:rRNA from 1 species
UACACUCCUGCGGGAGGCAGCAGUGGGGAAUUUUGGACAAUGGGCGAAAGCCUGAUCCAGCCAUGCCGCGUGCAGGAUGAAGGCCUUCGGGUUGUAAACUGCUUUUGUACGGAACGAAACGGCCUUUUCUAAUAAAGAGGGCUAAUGACGGUACCGUAAGAAUAAGCACCGGCUAACUACGUGCCAGCAGCCGCGGUAAUACGUAGGGUGCAAGCGUUAAUCGGAAUUACUGGGCGUAAAGCGUGCGCAGGCGGUUAUGUAAGACAGUUGUGAAAUCCCCGGGCUCAACCUGGGAACUGCAUCUGUGACUGCAUAGCUAGAGUACGGUAGAGGGGGAUGGAAUUCCGCGUGUAGCAGUGAAAUGCGUAGAUACGCGGAGGAACACCGAUGGCGAAGGCAAUCCCCUGGACCUGUACUGACGCUCAUGCACGAAAGCGUGGGGAGCAAACAGGAUUAGAAACCCGUGUAGUCC